AGUACAGUUAUUCUACCCUUCGUGAUGAUAAAGUUUGUUUUCGUUGAAACUGAUUUUCUCUCGUGAAUUAAUAAAGCUCUUGUAGUUUUUUUAAGGAUAGCAACUAUUCUGAAACUAUCAUGCGACUGUUUAAUAAAGGGCUAGUUCGUGGUGAAGUAUGAUUUAUACGUUUAAGUGUUGAAAGCUAAAAAAAUCGGCGACGUUUUUCUGCUAAGCUUUAACAAUAGCAACGUCUAUGAUAUAAAGGAAGUCAGUUAUAUUUAUGAAAAUAGUGCGUAAAUUUCAUGUUUUAGGAGAUUUGUAAUAAUUCAUGUGGCAAAGGCAAUAUUUUAAAAGAACAUAUACAUACUGAUGCAAAAGAGAAACUUCAUGUGUCUGUAAUUUGUAACAAAUAAUUUAGGCAAAUGAGUGAUUUAAUAGAACAGCUGCUUAUUCAUGCAGGACAGAAACUUCAUAUGUGUGAAGUAGGUACGGAACAAUUUAAUCAAAUGAAUAGUUUAAACAUGCAUAUGCAUGUUUAUGCAGGAAAGAAAAUUUAUGUGUGCAAAAUAUGUAAAAUGCCAUUUAAUCACAAAGGUUAUUUAAAGAAUCAUAUGCUUAUUCAUAAAGGAGAGAAACCUCACGUGUGUGAAGUGUGUGAGAAGUCAUUUAGGAGCAAGGGUGCUUUAAACAUGCAUAUGUAUACUCACACAGGAGAGAAACCUCAUGUGUGUCAAUUUUGUAAAACGUCAUUUAGUUUAAGAGGUAAUUUAAAUAUGCACAUGCUUAUUCACACAGGAGAGAAACGUCAUGUGUGUGAAGUAUGUGAAAAGUCAUUUAGAUUAAAAGCUACUUUAAACAGGCAUAAGCUUAUUCACACAACAGAGAAAUCGCAUGUAUGUGAAGUUUGUAUGAAGUCAUUUAGAUUAAAAACUUCUUUAAACAGGCAUAUGCUUAGUCACACAGCAGAGAAGUCUCAUGUGUGUGAAAUAUGUAAGAAAUCAUUUUGUCAUAAAACUAGUUUAAAUGCACACAGGCUUACACACACAGGAGAGAAACCUCAUGUGUGUGAAGUAUGCAUGAAAACAUUUACUCAAAAGUGUAGUUUAAACAUGCAUAUGCGUAUUCACACAGGACAGAAAUCUCAUAUGUGUGAAGUAUGUAAGGAAACAUUUACCCAAAAGGUUACAUUAAACAUGCAUAUACUUACUCACACACAAGUGAAACAGCACGAGUGUGAGGUAUGUAAGAAGUCAUUUAUACGAAAGGUCAGUUUAAAUAAACAUAUGCUUACUCACAGUGGAGAAAAACCUCAUAUGUGUGAAGUAUGUAAAAAAUCAUUUAGACUUAGACAGAAUUUAAUUGCCCAUAUGCGUAUUCACACAGGAGAGAAACCUCGUGUGAGGUAUGGAAGAGGUCGUAUAGUCCAAAAGGUAAUUUAAACAUAUGCAUAUUCUUACGGGAGACAAACCUUGCAUGCGAGGUAUGUAAAUGUGAUAGUAAAUAGUGAUUUAAAUUUCUGAUUUCUUUACUGCUAAUGGAAUUGAAGUCUUAUAAGUUAACUAGUCAUUUUGACAAAUGAAGAAACAUGUUUAUGUAUGCUGAAAGAAGCUUUAUAUCUGAAGGAAGAUUUAGGUUAGUAACAACCUGUAAUUUUCAGUGCAAUAGGACUUAUGCAUGAAGCAUAGAAUCUUCACUAUGUAAGGUCAACUAUGUUUUAAUUGCAGUGGAUAGCAAAAUUCCUAGAAUUUAGAGAUCACUCACCGUUAGAAUUUAAGAUAUGCAGAUUACUUUUUAGGAUCAUCAAUGUGCCAUGUGGCCUAGAGUCUACUGCUGACCCUGUGUGACCAUCUGAAGACAAUGCUUAAUCUACCCCAAAGUUGUUUUGAAGACUACUUUGGAUAUGUAAAAUUCUGAGCCCGGGAAAAGCACAUGAACUUGAUGGCUUCAUUGGCGCUUUUGAAUGUUAAUUUUACCAAGCUAAUGAAAACUGGAAAACUUUAUAUGUGAGAAGAAAGGUUUGAGCAGUCAGAAACUUGCAAGUUAUCAGGAGAUAUUUUGUUGAUAUUGUUUGAUCAGAAGUAAGGCACAAUGUUCAAGAUGAGAUCUUAAAUGUUUCAAAAGUUUAUCAAUAUUCUAUUUUGUAUGAUGAACAACAAAAAGAUUCUCAAACUAAAAACAGUAUUCCUUAUCCUUAUUAUCCGUAAUUUGCUUCAAAGUAAAAAAGAGAUGAUAUGUAAAUUUAGCCUUUUUGUAUCAGCGGUGGUUGUAUGUUAAGAUAUAAAUUCACUAAACCAUAAUUAAUGCUGUGCACUAUACAUAAUUUUCUAAGUAUUUGGAGAAUGUGACCUUAUACAGCAUAUUUAAUAAAAAUAAGAAGAUGUGAUUUAUAAACUUAGAUGUCCAAUAUAGUUAUUUGAUUUUGAAAUAAAAUAUUUAUACAAAUCUAAAUAAAAUACUUCUGCAUUUAAUUUAGUAAAGGCAUUUAUAAGUAUUUCUAAAAUAUUCAUUUGUUUUCUUAUUCUACUUAUUUUAAAUUCAUAUGCUUAAUUUCCACCCAAGGUCCUCUGUGAAUUAACUGAAUAUCCUUAAAGGGCAUUUUCACACUUUGCAGUAAAACUUGAGAAAUUUUAAUUAUAAUUAUCCAGCGUUUCACAGGGUUUUAAUGCAUUGUGGUAGCUAACCAUUCUAAAUUAAAAAUAUGUUUAUAUCUAUUUGGAAACUUUCUUGACUUUAAUUUUUUACUUCAUGUCAGCCUAUUUAACCUUUUUGUCACCUAAUAAAUUUGAAAGAACCUUGUAACCAAGCCCGAGAAAAAAAACUUUUUUAGGCCAAAUGUUUUCAUUAACACUUAAUUCCCCCCCAGCCUCUCUGCAUUUAACUACAAUAUUUAGAAUUAUUUUUAAUAAUCUGUUAAAAGUUAUAUUUGUUUCUUUUUGAUUUAUGGGAUGCUAGAUGUAAUUGUGAUGAAAAUGCUUGAUGUGAUAAAAAAUGUUUAUUUCUGAACUGAGUACUUCUACAGUGAUGUCACUGCAAAUAAAGAGGAUGAAAGAA